CCAAGUAGUGGCCUAUGUGUAGAAUCGUGGCCCAUCUGGAAUAUUGAAGGAAAUUGUGGUCGUUUCUAUCUUGUGAAGAAUGGGAUUGAUGUGUUUAGAAGCAGUAGGAAUCAUAGCUUGCGUGAUAGGCAAUGCUCAGUAUUUCAUCCACAAAGCAGCCCAUGAUUAUGGAGAUGCUAUCUGAUCCUUCAUCUGCACCUUCUAAUUAGGCGCCUAUGAAAUUCAGGACCUGUGGGAAUAAGGAAAAUGUCUUAAACUUCUCCUUGGGUGAACUCAUGUUGGGAGGACUUUCCAUCAGUUUUCUUCCUUCACUUGAUGGUUUGUCUGCGGCCGAUGAACCUUAAACGUUAAGGUUAAUUGAAUUUCCCAGAAAAAUAACAGAACAGCGUUGAGCUAAAAGAUUGUUGUAGAAAUUAAUAUUUUUGGCCUGGUAUGCUUGGUAAUUUGGUGAGGUUUUGGUUUUUAGUUGGACUUGAUAAGAUUAUGGCAAACCAUAUUACUGAAGGUCCUGAACUGCUACUUAACAUCAGUUUCUGUUUAAAUGCGUCAGUAGAAAUUGAAGUGAAAGUCGGCCCCUGUAGAGGGUUAUAGAAUGGUGUUUGAAAGCUUGCUCGUA